AUGAAAGCCAUUAUUAUUAUUGCUACUAUUCUCAAAAGUCUAAUGGGAUAUUUUCCCCCAUCUUACACAGAUCAGACGAGAGGAGCAUCUUGCCUUGGACCUGGCAACUCAUAUUUUCUUCCUUCACCUGUCAAGGGCCUUACACAUGGAUUCUCUUCUGCCUCUGCCACCCCCGAGACAGCAAGACCGUUCCCUCAUCUUCCUCCUCCUCCUCGCCCCAUCAAUAUGAAGAUGACAAGGAUGAAGACCUUUCACUUAAUGGACAGUAAAUGUGUUUUCUCUUUCUCAUGAUUUUCUUAAGAGUUUCUUUUCUCUAGCUUAUAUUAUUGUAAGAAUAUAGUAUAUAAUAUGUAUAACAAAAAAUAUGGGUUAAUCAAUGGUUUAUGUUCUCAGUAAGGCUUCUAGUCAACAGUAGGCUAUUAAUGUUUAAGUUUGGGGAGUCAAAAAGUUCUAUGUGGAUUUUGGCCAGGUGCAGUGGUUCACACCUGUAAUUCCCGCACUUUGGGAGGCCGAGGCAGGCAGAUAACCUGAGGUUGGGAGUUCCAGACCAGCCUGACCAACCUGGAGAAACCCUGUCUCUACUGAAAAUACAAAAUUACCUGAGUGUGGUGGCACAUGCUUGUAAUCCCAGCUACUUGGGAGGCUGGGGCAGGAGAAUCACUUGAACCUGGGAGGCAGAGGUUGCAGUGAGCCGAGAUCGUGCCAUUGCACUCCAGCCUAGGCAACAAGAGUGAAACUCCAUCUCAAAAAAAAAAAGUUAUAUGUGAAUUUUUCACUGUGUGGGAGUCAGUGUCCCUCAUCUCUCUGCUAUAGGUUGGAGAGUCAACUUUGGUUGAAAAUUGGCAGGUCCCUAUUCUUCGAUGCAUAUACUGAUUUGUUAACUAAAUCUCUGAAUUGCUUGACAACAAAUUUAAAACAUCAUAGUUUUGUACUUUUCUUCUUGAUUUUCCAUUCAAUACCAUUCUUUUCUUACUUAUCCGUCACCUUAGGAUGCAGAAAGUAAAGAAGCAACAGCUGCUACAGCUGAGGGAGCUGAGCUGGGCUCACCACAUGGUGCUGGGCGUGGGUAUCAGCAAAAGAACAGGAGCAAGAGUUCUAGCAAGGACAGUUCUGGCCACAAACAUAGCUCUAGGCAAGGAGUAACUACACAGGCACACAGCAGACUUGGGUACGGGGACUCUGGGGUAGAGUAUGGUGUGGCCUGGGACUCGGAAACAAAGUGGAGGAGAGAAAUAGGAAGCAGCAUUGUAACCUGGAAAGUUCAAGGGCUUUGGAGUCAGCAAGGUCAAGCUGUGAACCCUGACUUCACUCAUUCGCUACAUGACCUUGGGCAUUUUAGUUAACCUCAGUUUUCCUCUAAAAUGAUUAUCAUAACUAACCUCAUUUCCAUCCUUGCAGAGCAGUUGUGAAGAUAACAUAUGCGUAUGAAAUACAUGAUUUAGGACUUAAUAGGCAGUCAGUUCUGUCCUGCUUUAAGGCUCCUUUACUUCCCGCGGGAUCCUCCGUGGUCUCCAUCAGAUCGUUGGAGCUCAUGAGAGGUUGGAUUCCCUGCCCUCCCACGUGCUAGUGCUGUGAGGUCAAGGUGCAAACAAUUGCUGCAGAGAGCUGGGGGAAUGCUAGCACUGAAAGAUCCUUGCUGUGUUUCAUUUUCUAGUGAUGGGUGAUGAUUUACCCCACAAAGUUAAAACAGAUUUAGCCUCUGACAGUUUUUGUGGCCUGAAGUCCAGGCACAGUUUAGCUGGAUCCUCUGUUCAGUCUCACCAAGCUAAAAUCAAGGUACUGGCUGGGCUCUGUGUGUGUGUGUGUGUGUGUGUGUGUGUGUAUGUGUGUGUGUGUGUUGUAGAGAAGGAGUCUCAUUAUGUUGUCCAGGCUGGUCUUGAACUCUUGCCUCAAGUAAUCCUCUCACCUCUGCCUCCCAAAAGCCUGUGAAUCAGCUCUUGAUUCACUUGGAAAUUCACCAAAUGAGUUUUCUUCUUGCCAGACUUACAUAUUCUACAGGGGUGAGCCAUUGUGCCUGGGCCCUACAGGGGUGGCCACUGCGCCUGGGCCCUACAGGGGGUGGCCACUGCGCCUGGGCCCUACAGGGGUGGCCACUGUGCCUGGGCCCUACAGGGGUGACCACUGUGCCUGGGCCCUACAGGGGUGGCCACUGUGCCUGGGCCCUGUAGAGGUGAGCCACUGUGCCUGGCCUUGGGACUGUGUUCUCAUCUGGAGGUUUGACUCCAGAAUAAACUGUUUCCAAGCUCAUAAAGGUUAUUGGCAGAAUUCAUCUCCUUGUAGUGUGGGACUGAAGUCCCUCUGUUCUUUUACGGCUGUUGGACAGGGCCCAUCAUAGCAUCUGCAGGUCGCCCUCACCCUUGCCACCUG
ensembl:lncRNA